rnacentral:tRNA from 1 species
AAGAAGCUAAGUGUAAUUUAUUGCAUGUUCUUGUUUUGGUCAGGAUGGGGGUUGGGUGCCAGUUUCUAU